rnacentral:rRNA from 1 species
AUUGAACGCUGGCGGCAUGCCUUACACAUGCAAGUCGAACGGCAGCACGGGAGCAAUCCUGGUGGCGAGUGGCGAACGGGUGAGUAAUAUAUCGGAACGUGCCCAGUCGUGGGGGAUAACGUAGCGAAAGCUACGCUAAUACCGCAUACGAUCUACGGAUGAAAGCGGGGGAUCGCAAGACCUCGCGCGAUUGGAGCGGCCGAUAUCAGAUUAGCUAGUUGGUGGGGUAAAAGCUCACCAAGGCGACGAUCUGUAGCUGGUCUGAGAGGACGACCAGCCACACUGGAACUGAGACACGGUCCAGACUCCUACGGGAGGCAGCAGUGGGGAAUUUUGGACAAUGGGCGCAAGCCUGAUCCAGCAAUGCCGCGUGCAGGAUGAAGGCCUUCGGUUGUAACUGCUUUGUACGGUAACGAAACGGUGAGCUCUAAUAAAGACUUGCUAAUGACGGUACCGUAAGAAUAAGACACCGGCUAACUACGUGCC